rnacentral:rRNA from 1 species
CCUACGGGAGGCAGCAGUGGGGAAUAUUGCACAAUGGGGGAAACCCUGAUGCAGCGACGCCGCGGGAGUGAAGAAGUAAUUCGUUACGGAAAGCUCUAGCAGCAGGGAAGAAACACGGACCGGACGGGCAGCAGACGGUACCGGAGUAAGAAGCCCCGGCGAACUACGUGCCAGAAGCCGCGGUAAUAAGUAGGGGGCAAGCGGUAUCCGGAUUUACUGGGUGGAAAGGGAGCGUCGACGGUGCGCCAAGGCUGGAGUGAAAUGCCGCAGCUUAUCGGCGGAACUGCUUUGGAAACUGGCGACCUAGAGUGCGGGUGUGUUCAGCGUAAUUCCUAGUGUAGCGGUGACAUGCGUAGAUAUUCGGCGG